GCGCCGGUGGUGUAAGGCGAACAUCGCUGCCCGGAAAGCAGAAGAUGUGGGUUCGAGUCCCGAAUGGCGCA
rnacentral:tRNA from 1 species